rnacentral:tRNA from 1 species
GUCAGAAUGGCCGAGCGGUCUAAGGCGCCAGACUCUAGUUUUGGUCCUCUUAGCGGGCGUGGGUUCUUAUCCCACUUCUGACA